rnacentral:rRNA from 1 species
ACGGCGUCGAGCGGCGGACGGGUGAGUAAUGCCUAGGAAAUUGCCCUGAUGUGGGGGAUAACCAUUGGAAACGAUGGCUAAUACCGCAUGAUGCCUACGGGCCAAAGAGGGGGACCUUCGGGCCUCUCGCGUCAGGAUAUGCCUAGGUGGGAUUAGCUAGUUGGUGAGGUAAGGGCUCACCAAGGCGACGAUCCCUAGCUGGUCUGAGAGGAUGAUCAGCCACACUGGAACUGAGACACGGUCCAGACUCCUACGGGAGGCAGCAGUGGGGAAUAUUGCACAAUGGGCGCAAGCCUGAUGCAGCCAUGCCGCGUGUGUGAAGAAGGCCUUCGGGUUGUAAAGCACUUUCAGUCGUGAGGAAGGUAGAGGCGUUAAUAGCUGCUUUAUUUGACGUUAGCGACAGAAGAAGCACCGGCUAACUCCGUGCCAGCAGCCGCGGUAAUACGGAGGGUGCGAGCGUUAAUCGGAAUUACUGGGCGUAAAGCGCAUGCAGGUGGUUUGUUAAGUCAGAUGUGAAAGCCCGGGGCUCAACCUCGGAAUUGCAUUUGAAACUGGCAGACUAGAGUACUGUAGAGGGGGGUAGAAUUUCAGGUGUAGCGGUGAAAUGCGUAGAGAUCUGAAGGAAUACCGGUGGCGAAGGCGGCCCCCUGGACAGAUACUGACACUCAGAUGCGAAAGCGUGGGGAGCAAACAGGAUUAGAUACCCUGGUAGUCCACGCCGUAAACGAUGUCUACUUGGAGGUUGUGGCCUUGAGCCGUGGCUUUCGGAGCUAACGCGUUAAGUAGACCGCCUGGGGAGUACGGUCGCAAGAUUAAAACUCAAAUGAAUUGACGGGGGCCCGCACAAGCGGUGGAGCAUGUGGUUUAAUUCGAUGCAACGCGAAGAACCUUACCUACUCUUGACAUCCAGAGAACUUUCCAGAGAUGGAUUGGUGCCUUCGGGAACUCUGAGACAGGUGCUGCAUGGCUGUCGUCAGCUCGU